rnacentral:lncRNA from 1 species
GUCACUUUUGACGGCGUCAGCGAUCCCUUGCGAUUCAUCGAGCGGUUGGAGGAACGAGCCGUAUCACACCGAGUGGACACCAGCAGUUUGGCCCAAGGAGUACCGGAACUUUGAAAAGGUACUGCCGAGGACUGGUUCCGCACGAGUCAUCUACAGGGAGAGCCAUGGAACGUGUUUCGCCGGGAGUUUUUGGAUUUCUUCCUACCCCCGCGGUACUUUCAGAGACUGGAGGACGAGAUCAGGAUGCGAUACCAGAGGGAAAACGAGGGAUACAAGCAGUAUCUAGUGGACAUUCGCCUAAUGAUGAACCGCGCUGGUUACUCGGAAGCUCAGGAACUCGAGCGGGUGUACGAAAAUCUGCUGCCCGAAUACCAGUUGUACGUGAGACGCAUGGACUUCCGCACAUUCAAACAGUUAACACAACUGGUGAUCAACUUUGAGAUCACCCGGGAACGCGAGCAUCAACGUCAAGCCAGAACCAGGACAGGAUCAGCAGCGAUGUUAAAGCGGGGAACCGGCGCAACGAGCCCCAAACCCGAAUCACAGUGGACGACUUCGAACGCAGCAGCGGGGCCUAAAGAGGGAAAGGAUCCAGGAACGAUAGGCAAUUCCAGCAGCGAGCAACCGGUGGACACACGUAUGAGUUCCGGAACUGCGGAGUGCUGGGACACUUUGCCAGGGAAUGCCGUGGAACUCGGACACUAUUCUGCUGGAACUGUGGCCGGCGAGGAGUGAGGACCAUCGACUGCUGCCAGGCCAAGGAGACGGGAAACGCCCACCGCCCCUCAUCAAACCCAGGACAUAUGAGAGGGCCAACGAGCGAGCCCUGGGACUAGCGGAUGUCAUACGUCCGCGAGAUGGCAGGCUUGCCGCCGAGGCAAGCAUCGAGGCUGAGGUGAUGAUAGCGACGCUGGACACGGGGGCCACGCGGAGUGUUCUCAGCGAGCAGAAGGCACGACUCAUCGAGACCCCGGCUAACAGACGAACAGUGCGAACAACAAUAGCUUUGGCAAAUGGGACAAGGAUGGAACUAACGCGGGCAAUUCAAGCAGAGGUACGACUCGGACAAUCACGGGCUAGCCUCCUGAUGCUGGUCCUGCCAUCGGCUCUCGACGACGUGCUACUCGGAUUGGAUUUCUUUGCCGCCAUAGAUGCCAAGCUGCAGGUAGGAGGGUUGCUCAUGCCCUUGAGCAGAGCCAACCACGUAACCACGGAGUGCCACCGACCAGCGAGGACAAACCAGGACGACGCCUGCAUCCGCGAGGCGGUCGUCACAUCAACAGAGACCACGGGGACACUCAAAGACGACGCCUGCAUCCGCGAGGCGGUCGUCACACGACCAUGGAGGACAAGGAAUCAAGAUGAUCCCGGCACCUGAAACCGCGAGGUGGCCGGGUCAUCAUCGACGACGAGGACAAACCAGGACGACGCCUGGAUCCGCGAGGCGGUCGUCACAUCAACAGAGACAACGAGGACACUCAAAGACGACGCCUGCGUCCGCGAGGCGGUCGUUACAUCACCAUGGAGGACAAGGAUUGAAGAUGAUCCCGGCACCUGCAACCGCGAGGUGGCCGGCGGGUCAUCAUCGACGACGAGGAAAAGCAAGGACGACGCCUGCAUCCGCGAGGCGGUCGUCACACGACCAGGGAGGACAAGGAAGCAAGAUGAUCCCCGCACCUGCAACCGCGAAGUGACCGGCGGGUCAGCAUCGACGACAAGGAAAAGCAACCUUAGCACCUUAGCAGUGAGAACGAGGACCACACAGGACGACGCCUGCAUCCGCGAGGCGGUCGCCAUAGCAGCAUGGAGGACAAGGAUGCGAGAUGACCCCGGCACCUGCAACCGCGAGGUGAACGGCGGGCCAUCAGCAACGACUAAGACAAACCCGGACGACGCCUGCAUCCGCGAGGCGGUCGUCCCGUCAGCAGAGACAAUAAUUGUACGAGAAGACCACGGCACCGAACGAGACCGAACUUGGAGAGGCGCUCUUGGCCCCGCGCGACUGAAAGCCACGCAACGGAACCCGUUU